rnacentral:tRNA from 1 species
UCCCUGGUGGCUCAGAGAUUAAAGCAUCUGUCUGAAAUUCAGGAGGCCUGGGUUCGAUCCCUGGGUUGGGAA